GAAUAUGAAGCGAUAUAUUGCGAUUAGUUUCGACCUAAUUUUAGGUAUUAUUAAUACACCCUUAUUCU
rnacentral:tRNA from 1 species